CAAUAGCGUAUAUUAAAGUUGUUGCAGUUAAAAAGCUCGUAGUUGGAUCUCGGGUCCAGGCUUGUGGUGCAGCUUAGGCUGCUUACUGCUCGUCCUGACCUACCUACCGGUUUUCCCUUGGUGCUCUUAAGUGAGUGUCUUGGGUGGCCGGAACGUUUACUUUGAAAAAUUAGAGUGCUCAAAGCAGGCUUUCGCCUGAAUAUUAGUGCAUGGAAUAAUUGAAUAGGACCUCGGUUCUAUUUUGUUGGUUUUCGGUAACUCGAGGUAAUGAUUAAGAGGGACGAGACGGGGGCGAUUCGUAUUACGGUGUUAGAGGUGAAAUUACUUGGAUCGCCGUAAGACGAACUACUGCGAAAGCAUUUGCCAAGAAAUGUUUUUCAUUAAAUCAAGAACGAAAGUACAGAGGUUCGAAGAUGAUCAGAUACCGU
rnacentral:rRNA from 1 species